UACGUAGGCAGCAAGCGUUGUCCGGAAUCAUUGGGCGUAAAGCGCGCGUAGGUGGCCAUGUAAGUCCGCUGUGAAAGUCAAAGGCUCAACCUUUGAAAGCCGGUGGAUACUGCAUGGCUAGAGUACGGAAGAGGCGAGUGGAAUUCCUGGUGUAGCGGUGGAAUGCGCAGAUAUCAGGAGGAACACCAAUGGCGAAGGCGGCUCACUGGUCCGGUACUGACGCUGAGGUGCGAAAGCGUGGGGAGCAAACAGG
rnacentral:rRNA from 1 species